GAGGAGAAGGAUGAGCAGCAGUAUUCACUGAGGAAGAGAAAAAAUGAAGAUAUGACAUCACAGAUGCCAAGAGGUAAUGUGUAUUGUAGAAAUUUUCAAGAACAAAUAUGUAAAAGAGAAGAAACUAAAAUUACCAGUUACCCCAAUUACUCCAAGGGGCAGUGCUUGAAGAAAUGGAUAAACUUAGAGUAAUUCACACAAUAAGAAUGCACAAACAGAAUUUUUAACCUCAAAACAAAACCUGUCUGGUGAAGUAUAUUAAAUUCUGGUUAUCUGGUUGCCUACAUUUCUCCCAAUGUAUUUUCAAUGACCUAAAUCCAAGUUUGAAGUAAAAGUUCAUCCCUUCCUGGACAUCAGCCAUUCUUAUUUUCAUGUGCUUCCCUGGACUUGCCUGCAAAGUCUGUUGUUGCUAUCCCAGGCAUCACCCAGAACCACAAGUGCUGUGAGCCCAGAGAAAUGCAAAUCUCAGUGAUAAUCUUGAAUAUUUUAUCCAACAACUAGAAGCCAUUUACUUAAUGGAAAGUAUUACAAUGCAUGAUGCCAUUCCAAUCAAGGCUUAAUUCAUUUGCAGGCAGACUUUCAAGAGCUUGAACCUGCAUUUUGCUUAUAAAAGGAGCCACUCCACAGUUAAAUUUCACAGGAAUUUAAACCAUCCAUCCACUGCCAACCUGAUCUAGUUUUACCCCUCUGAUGCUACGGUUACCUUUUCAGAUUCAUUGGAAACAUUUUUAGCCAACAGGUCCAACAGAGACUGAUCUUGAUGUACCUGGACUCUGAAAAGCCGUGGUGGAGGCUGGGCCUGGAUUGCAUUAUAGUAUGGCAACCCGAGAUGACUCUGGGGUAUGGGGAAGUAGGGGGAAGCAAUGAUCAAAUAGGGUUUCAUUUACACCUUUGCUUGUAAUUUAGAUGUCUUGUCUAGAUUAAAGCCAUUAGUGGGCACAAAUGGAGAAAAUGUGUUUGAGUGUGAUAUGGUUUGAAUUUCUACUAUCUAACUAUGAAUCAAAACCAGGAACAAGAGUAAUAUGGGCAUACAGAAGCAGCCAGAGAGAACCAAGACUGUUUGGUUAAAGGUUAUAUCUGGUUUCAUAAUAAAGGGGAAGCUAGGACACAUAAUAGAAAUCACUAUAUAUUAUUUAUGUAUAGUUAGGGUGCUAUAUUAAAUUUACAAUGAAUUUUCUAUGGUUCUUGCCAUAGACUAUGGAUUCAGUCAUUUUCAAGACUCUUUUAGUAAUUUUUAUAAAUUCCCAUGGUAAUGAACCCCUUCAAGUAUUGUUAAAUAUAAGCUGUCUGAACUGGGGUGGAUUACAUCAGACUAGAGUCAAUAGUCUAUAAAUGGUCCUUCUUUUCAGAAUUCUGUCUCAAUGAGGUCUGUUUCUAUAAUAAAAUGGAAAUCUUAUUCCCCCAGAAUUUCUUGUAAGAAGAAUUUCUUUUUUUAUUGAGUUUAUUGGGGUGACAUUGGUUAAUAAAAUUAUAUAGGUUUCAGGUGUACAAUUCUAUCAUAUGUCAUUGGUAUAUUGUAUUGUGUAUAUACACCCCAAAUAAAGUCUCUUUACAUCACUACUUAUUCCCCUGUACCCUUUUCUACCCUACUCCCCCGCCUUUCCCUCUGGUAACCACC